rnacentral:rRNA from 1 species
UGUGGGGGGAUUAGUGGCGAACGGGUGAGUAACACGUGAGUAACCUGCCCUUGACUCUGGGAUAAGCCUGGGAAACCGGGUCUAAUACUGGAUACGACCUUCCCGCGCAUGCGGUGUUGGUGGAAAGCUUUUGUGGUUUUGGAUGGACUCGCGGCCUAUCAGCUUGUUGGUGGGGUAAUGGCCUACCAAGGCGACGACGGGUAGCCGGCCUGAGAGGGUGACCGGCCACACUGGGACUGAGACACGGCCCAGACUCCUACGGGAGGCAGCAGUGGGGAAUAUUGCACAAUGGGCGCAAGCCUGAUGCAGCGACGCCGCGUGAGGGAUGAAGGCCUUCGGGUUGUAAACCUCUUUCAGUAGGGAAGAAGCUGGUCCUUCGGGGUCGGUGACGGUACCUGCAGAAGAAGCGCCGGCUAACUACGUGCCAGCAGCCGCGGUAAUACGUAGGGCGCAAGCGUUAUCCGGAAUUAUUGGGCGUAAAGAGCUCGUAGGCGGUUUGUCGCGUCUGCCGUGAAAGUCCGGGGCUUAACUCCGGAUCUGCGGUGGGUACGGGCAGACUAGAGUGCAGUAGGGGAGACUGGAAUUCCUGGUGUAGCGGUGAA